CCUGAUACAAAGAUAUCUGAAGUCCCUCCAAGUUAUAGAAACUUGGCAAAGCAGAAUGAAAGUGCUUCACACCCCGCACAGCUCAGCCGGGCAGGCAUGAGCAGAUUUUGGGGGCUGGGAUUGAUCUGCAUUGAUCAUUGGGCAGCAGCACCACAAAAGGCAGACUGGGAUCAAUGGGCCUGGGGAAUAUUUCCAUCCUUUUUUUGGUAGGUACUAUGAAUGUAGCCUUGGCUCCUGGGUCUUCCCCAUGGACAGAAUAUUUUGUUGCAAAAUAAAGCUUUUAAUUGAAAGGAGUAAAAUGAAAUGGCCACACAAUGGUGCCAGAGACUAAGGAAUGAAAAGCCCCACAUUUCCUAAAUCAUAGAAGAUUAAGGUUGGAAGAGAGCUCAGGAGGUAUCUAGUCCAACCCCCUGCUCAAAGCAGGACCAACCCCAACUAAAUCAUCCC